AGCCAAUGAAGUGGGAAAGGUUCCCGGCGCGCUUGCUUAUAGCAAGUUACCAGAAAUCAGGAUACGCCGCCCUGCAUUGACU
rnacentral:ncRNA from 22 species